rnacentral:lncRNA from 1 species
AUCCGUACGCAAACACUUCGGGGCAUCCUCAAGUCUGGUCUUUUAAAGAAUAGCAGACUGACAACUCUCUUCUCUUUUGCAGUGCCUAGGAUAGAAGACAGGGUCUCCAGCUCAGCCAGCCCCUGCUGCCAGUUGUACCCAUUCUAGAGCAUUCUCAGAGAACCAAGAGCUCCCAUCCAGACAGAAGGAAGCAAGAAGCCUCCAGGCAUCUCUCCGUGGCUCUCCUUCUUUUCCGAGGAUCAGGGAAGGCCAAAGGAAUUGCUCAAAACCAGGGCAAGGCAGUGGGACUGGGCCAUGGAAUCAAAGCGGCUGCAGUGACUCAGGCGUUUCCCAUUGCCCAAUUCUCGCAUCCUCUACUCUCAGCGCCCAAGCUUUUCAUGUCCUAUUUGAAACUGAUAGGAAACCCUCGCAUUGUUUCGCAACAUGGAUAUUAGCGCCGAUGAAGGAAGCGCUCCAUCAGAUAAUCGGCUGCAGUAAGCUGGCUUCCAGCGCCAGCUGCCCAGACCCACUUCUCUGCUUCCCAGGACCCAAGACCCAGUACAACCCUGGCUAGGACAGUCAGGGGCUUCUGGCCAGGAGACCCAGCGGCCUGGCUCCUCCCACCUUCCACUCCACGCCCAUUUGAAGGAGAGAGAGCAUGGGCGGGGAGGUUUUUCUCCUUCCAGGUCUCUGAUAAGCAAGGGUCUCCAUCACUUUUACCCAUUUGCUGACCUUGCUCUCUUCCUCAGCCUUCCUCAGCGCACUUUUCCAGGUGAUCCUUCAAAUCCUCGAGUUCCCUAAGCUUCGGGGUCCCCUCUCUCCCCGCAGUUCCCAUUGAUGUGGGUUCCAAUCUGCUCCUGUGUAAGAUUUUGCCUGAACAAAGGGUUCUGCUGCCAAGCACCGUCAGAACUGCUCAGAGCCAGGCAAGAGAAUUUGCACACUCUCUAGGGCUGGCGCUUGCUUUCUUUUGUAGUUAGGUAUUGGCAGUGGAAACGUGACUCUAUCCAGGGACUAUAAACAGAGGACGUGCCCUGAGCUAGCAGGCACUUCAUACAUACCUUCAGGGUGAGCAGAUGACUGCCAGCCCCUUCCUGAGUUACAGAUGAGGACGUUGGUGUCAGAGAGGGUGUACAGUUUUCUCAGGCUCACACAGCACAGUUUCGAGGCCAGGGCAGCAUGCUUCUCUUCCAAAGACAGACUGCAUGUCUGUGGCUAACUUCCCAAGAUGUCAAUCAGAUGGGGUUGGCUCUAGGGCUGGGAAUGGGGGUGGUAGAAGGAAAAACAGCAGGGGCCUUCCUAUGGUGCCAUUCUGAAUUCUGGUAGGAAGUGAUUUCCCCUC